rnacentral:pre_miRNA from 1 species
AAGUGAGCAUGAUCUGUCUUUAAUUAGGAGUAAAUACUCUUUAAAAAUUCUAGAUAGUUUUCCCUUUAAGUCGGUGUCUUAU